rnacentral:sRNA from 1 species
CGGGUGCUGGACAUAGUGCUUGGAGAAAACCAGAUGUUGUCGCGGAGUUUCCCUUGGAGCAAGAGCUGGAAGUUGCUGAUGUUGCGGAGUAGUCUUCUUAGAGUUUCUUGAUUGAACACUUGUAGUGUUUAAUCCUUUCAACUGUUCAAGUAUAUAAUUUUUCAGUUUCUGUUGUUCCUGAAUGACUGUAAUUUAAUUACACGUCAAAAUUCUGACUGUUCUCUAUAUUUG